AUUGAACGCUGGCGGCAUGCUUUACACAUGCAAGUCGAACGGCAGCGCGGGCUUCGGCCUGGCGGCGAGUGGCGAACGGGUGAGUAAUACAUCGGAACGUGCCCAGUAGUUGGGGAUAGCUCGGCGAAAGCCGGAUUAAUACCGCAUACGACCUGAUGGUGAAAGCGGGGGAUCUUCGGACCUCGCGCUAUUUGAGCGGCCGAUGGCAGAUUAGCUAGUUGGUGGGGUAAAGGCCUACCAAGGCGACGAUCCGUAGCUGGUCUGAGAGGACGACCAGCCACACUGGAACUGAGACACGGCCCAGACUCCUACGGGAGGCAGCAGUGGGGAAUUUUGGACAAUGGGCGAAAGCCUGAUCCAGCAAUGCCGCGUGUGUGAUGAAGGCCUUCGGGUUGUAAAGCACUUUUGGCGGGAACGAAAAGGACUGUGCCAAUACCACGGUUCGAUGACGGUACCCGCAGAAUAAGCACCGGCUAACUACGUG
rnacentral:rRNA from 1 species